rnacentral:lncRNA from 1 species
GUCGCACACGGUCGCCAGACGGACCGUGUAAGCAGAUCUUUGAAUCUAAUUCCUGCAGCAGUUAGCUCGCUCCAAGGCCAUCGUGGUCAAUUUUACAAAGGACCAGAGUGGGAAGUGACUCGUAAAGGCGCACAUGACCGUGCCAGCCCAAGCCGUCUCUCCUGGCGCCCUCUCUCAACUUCGUCGCAAGUUCCCUAAGGAACCCUGGUAAUAAAAGCUGAAUUUUAGGGACUGGACAGGCCCUGCCCAGGGGAGUCUGCAGUACUCUGGAGGGCCACGCUGCUUGGGCACCCACAGGGCCCAGGUCUUACGGCACCUUCCAUGCGUGGCUACCACCCAGGCACCUGCUCAGGUCUCCCUGACUCUGAAGGCAACCCGCCUGUCUGGGUCCAGGAUUCCGUUUCCAUCACACCUUAUGUCCCUUGUGCUCCACUACCCGCAAACCCCAAACUUCUCUGUGCUGUGGAUUAGGGCUCCUCAAGGGCAAGGGGAGGGAAUUGGGAGAACUGAGUUCUAGCACCUAUGAGCCUGGGACUCGAAAUCCCUGUGGCCUAGCAAUCCCUGUCACUGCAUGUAGAGUCACAGAAGCCAUUGGCUUAGAACUGAGGGAACAGGGAGCUUCCCCUGCCCUUCCACAGGUUCAACAAUUGAGCCUUUGAAAUAAACAGGCAACAGACAAAUCAACAGAAGA